rnacentral:snRNA from 1 species
GUUAGGGCUAUCUGUCUGUGACAUCUGUCACCCCAAUAAUCACUAGGGUUGAUUCGGCUGAUCUGGCUGGCUAAACGGGUGUCCCCUUCCUUCCUUACCGCUCCAUGUGCGUCCCUCCUGAAGCUGCACGCUCGGUCGAAGAGGACAGCCUUCAUUUGAUCUUGACUUUGACUUUGCCUCUGUCUCUGUGCCCAGUGGUCAUUUCUGUGCACUUAUCUUGUUCCUGAUCAAAUUGCAAUCAAAAAUAUUGAUCAAACACUCCUGAAAUUCAUAUGGAACAAUAAACGCCCAUGAAUAGCUAAAGCAAUUUCUU